rnacentral:rRNA from 1 species
CAGCCGCCACGGUAAUACGUAGGUCCCGAGCGUUGUCCGGAUUUAUUGGGCGUAAAGCGAGCGCAGGCGGUUAGAUAAGUCUGAAGUUAAAGGCUGUGGCUUAACCAUAGUACGCUUUGGAAACUGUUUAACUUGAGUGCAAGAGGGGAGAGUGGAAUUCCAUGUGUAGCGGUGAAAUGCGUAGAUAUAUGGAGGAACACCGGUGGCGAAAGCGGCUCUCUGGUCUGUCACUGACGCUGAGGCUCGAAAGCGUGGGUAGCGAACAGGAUUAGAUACCCGAGUAGUCCCUGUCUCUUAUACA